AGAGCGAACGCUGGCGGCAGGCCUAACACAUGCAAGUCGAGCGCCCGUAGCAAUACGGGAGCGGCAGACGGGAUAGUAACACGUGGGAACGCGCCCUUCGGUUCGGAAUAACUCAGGGAAACUUGAGCUAAUACCGGAUACGCCCUUACGGGGAAAGAUUUAUUGCCGAAGGAACGGCCCGCGUCCGAUUAGCUAGUUGGUGAGGUAAUGGCUCACCAAGGCGACGAUCGGUAGCUGGUCUGAGAGGAUGACCAGCAUCACUGGGACUGAGACACGGCCCAGACUCCUACGGGAGGCAGCAGUGGGGAAUAUUGGACAAUGGGCGCAAGCCUGAUCCAGCCAUGCCGCGUGGAUGAUGAAGGCCCUAGGGUUGUAAAGUCCUUUUAACGGGGAAGAUAAUGACGGUACCCGUAGAAUAGCCCGGCUAACUUCGUGCCAGCAGCCGC
rnacentral:rRNA from 1 species